ACAUUUGGUUCAGGCUUAAGGUUUCCAAACUUCAAAACAACAUAGUUAGUCAUCCUCGAUGAAGGCGGGAUGAAAUUAUGCUUGUUCAAUUCCACCAAGCUCUUCAAGUCCACACUAGAAGGAAGAAAAAAAGCAUCAAAUUUCAACUACAGAUCAAGCAACUAGCAUUAUUUUAAAAACCCCAAUAAACAAUGAAAGAAUUUUCUAGAAUUAAUUAAUUGGAGCUUAGAUUAUGUUAUGAUGUAUCUAUAUAUAGCUUAGAUAUUCCUCUUAUACAACUAAUUCAUUUUGAUAAUACAAUGACAGAAAAUUUCCCAAAUUCUCUCUAAUUUUUUUUUCCUCUUUUCUCUUUGAUUUCCUCUAUUCUUCGAAUAUAUUGAAGCUGUUUUAAGCUUCAAUAUAGUAUCAGAGCUAGGGGUGUUAAAAAAAACCCGACCCGGUAAAUACCCAAUGGGAAUUUUAGGCGUAAAAGUUGUUUUUUCGCGUCGGGUACCCGACCCGGGAAAAUGGCCUUCUAUCCGGGUCGGGACAUGGGCCGGAUUUUAUUAUUAUCGAGUACCCGAUUACCCGAUAAUAAAUAAAAGCAAAAAAAAAAUAAUCACCCUCAUUCCCUCAAAGGCCCAGCCCAUACUGAUUCCACUCUACCAGUUCAGUAGUUCACGCCUUCACGGAUUAGGGUUCUAAAAAAAAUUCGCCUCUCUCUCUCUCUCUCUUAGAUCUGCUUUCCUUAGUCUCCUGUUCACGCGAGUUCAAGGGAGUUUCAGCCUUCAAUCUCAGGAAUUAAAGACUUUGUUUGGAGCAACCAACGAUUAUUAUUGAUGAGACAGUUGAAGUUUCGGAUCUCACAAGUGAAUGAAACACGACCUCCAAUCCCAUUUUAAUUUGCAUUGUGGCUUUGUUAUAUUAUUGUACUUUGUAAUUUGUAUGUUUUUAAUUAUGUAACUAAAGACUUCCCCUAAACUUUAGCUUUUACUAGUACUUUAAUAUGUUAAAACAGGUUAUAAAAAGUAGGUUUUUACUAAAAUGUAGCAGGUACUCAAGGGCUACAUUUUACAGAAUAGUAUUUCUGGAAAUACAUGCAUCUA